rnacentral:rRNA from 1 species
UACGUAGGGGGCAAGCGUUGUCCGGAAUCAUUGGGCGUAAAGAGCGUGUAGGCGGUUCGGUAAGUCGGCUGUGAAAGUCCAGGGCUCAACCCUGGGAUGCCGGUCGAUACUGCCGGACUAGAGUUCGGAAGAGGCGAGUGGAAUUCCCGGUGUAGCGGUGAAAUGCGCAGAUAUCGGGAGGAACACCAAUUGCGAAGGCAGCUCGCUGGGACGUUACUGACGCUGAGGCGCGAAAGCGUGGGGAGCAAACAGG